AUGUGUGGUGACGGAUCGGCGGCGAGAAAGGAGACUCCCGAGCCGUUCCUUGAAUUUGAAUUUAAGAGUUUAGUUUCCCGUAACAUUCUCUACAAGAAGAAUCUUGGCAGUAUCUUAAAGACUUCACUGACUUCUGGAUCCUGCGCCAGCAAAAGCACUUCUGAAUCAUUUAUACAACACAUUGUAUCCUUGGUUCAUCAUGUAAAAGAGCAAUACUUCAAAUCACCUGCAGUGACCCUAAACGAGAGGUUUACUUCAUACCAGAAAGCUACUGAAGAACAUAGUACCAGGCAAAAGAGCCCUGAGAUACACAGGAGGAUUGACAUCUCUCCAAGCGCACUGAGGAAGCAUACCCGUUUAGCAGGAGAGGAGAGAGUUUUUAAAGAAGAAAUUCAAAAGGGAGAUAAAAAAUUAAGGUGUGAUUCGGCUGAUCUUCGGCAUGACAUUGACCGUCGCCGUAAAGACAGAAGUAAAGAGCGGGGAGAUUCCAAGAGCUCCAGGGAGUCCAGUGCAUCAAGAAAGCAAGAAAAAGCACCAAAGGAUUACAAGGAAUAUAAACCUUACAGAGAUGACAGCAAACACAAAGGUAGAGAGCAAGAUCAUUCCCGGUCAUCGUCCUCUUCAGCAUCACCUUCCUCACCCAGUUCUCAAGAAGAAAAAGAGAGUAAGAAAGAAAGAGAAGACGAGUUUAAAACUCACCAUGAGAUGAAAGACUACUCAGGCUUUGCAGGAGGUAGCAGACUACGAGGGACCUUCCAUGAUGACAGAGAUGAUGGUGUGGAUUACUGGGCCAAAAGAGGAAGAGGUCGUGGUACAUUUCAACGCGGCAGAGGGCGCUUUAAUUUCAAAAAAUCAGGUAGCAGUCCAAAAUGGACUCAUGACAAAUAUCAAGGAGAUGGGAUUGUUGAAGAUGAAGAAGAGACUAUGGAAAAUAAUGAAGAGAAGAAGGACAGACGCAAAGAAGAAAAGGAAUAGCCUCAAGAUUGCAACAGGGAGCAGAACUUGACACAUUUUUUUUUUAAACCUGAUUUUUGUUUUCAAAUAAGAAUGUAAGCAUUUUACUUAAAAUGUACUGUUUGCAAGUAGUCUAUAGAAAUUUUGUUUUAAGUCUUCAAAUAUCUUGAAAAAAAUAGUAGACUGUAUGUUGAAAAUUGUAUUGAAAUAAAGUAGAAAAUGUUCGGUAAAAAAAAAAA